UACUCCUACGGGAGGCAGCAGUGGGGAAUAUUGGACAAUGGGCGAAAGCCUGAUCCAGCCAUGCCGCGUGUGUGAAGAGGGUCUUCGGAUUGUAAAGCACUUUAAGUUGGGAGGAAGGGCAGUAAGUUAAUACCUUGCUGUUUUGACGUUACCGACAGAAUAAGCACCGGCUAACUUCGUGCCAGCAGCCGCGGUAAUA
rnacentral:rRNA from 1 species